rnacentral:rRNA from 1 species
UACGUAGGGUGCAAGCGUUGAUCGGAAUGACUGGGCGUAAAGGGUGCGCAGGCGGUUUUGCAAGCCAGAUGUGAAAUCCCCGGGCUUAACCUGGGAAUGGCAUUUGGGACUGCAAGGCUGGAGUGCGGCAGAGGAGACUGGAAUUCCUGGUGUAGCAGUGAAAUGCGUAGAUAUCAGGAGGAAUACCGAUGGCGAAGGCAGGUCUCUGGGCUGACACUGACGCUCAUGCACGAAAGCGUGGGGAGCAAACAGG